rnacentral:rRNA from 1 species
AGACAGCAGUAGCCGCGGGAAUACGUAGGGUGCAAGCGUUAAUCGGAAUUACUGGGCGUAAAGAGUGCGCAGGCGGUUAUAUAAGACAGAUGUGAAAUCCCCGGGCUCAACCUGGGAACUGCAUUUGUGACUGUAUAGCUAGAGUACGGCAGAGGGGGAUGGAAUUCCGCGUGUAGCAGUGAAAUGCGUAGAUAUGCGGAGGAACACCGAUGGCGAAGGCAAUCCCCUGGGCCUGUACUGACGCUCAUGCACGAAAGCGUGGGGAGCAAACAGGAUUAGAUACCCCCGUAGUCCCUGUCUCUUAUAC